GAGCUGACGUCACUGCUGAAGCUUGUCGCAUUACUCUCUCGUCACCGACCUAUUUUUUUUUUUUUUUUACCUUUUACGCGAAUGUUUCCCACCUGACAAAAUUCUUGUUUGUGAUUGGCCAGACGCCUCUGACGAUACGGAAGCGCCGUGGAUCGUUCGUGCAGCGUCUGUUGUGAGAGCAGAUCGGUGCCAUGGACGGCGGCAGUGAUAGGAAGAGAGCUAAUGACCCGGAGGAGGACUAUGCAUUGUCAGAAGAUGAAGACUAUGUGCCCUAUAUACCACUCAAGCAACGGAGGCAACAGCUGCUUCAAAAGCGUUUGCAGAUGCGUAAGAAAGGAGUCAUAGAAGAGGAGCAGAAGGAUAGCGGCAGUGAGCAUCGUGGGGAUGAAGAUGACAUUCCUUUGGGUCCCCGAUCUAAUGUCAGUCUUCUGGAUCAGCAUCAACACUUAAAGGAGAAAGCAGAAGCUAGAAAAGAAUCUGCAAAGGAGAAGCAGCUGAAAGAAGAAGAGAAGAUCCUGGAGAGUGUGACAGAGGGAAGAGCUUUGAUGUCUGUGAAAGAAAUGGCAAAAGGUAUUACAUAUGAUGACCCCAUAAAGACUAGUUGGAGAGCUCCACGAUAUAUACUUGGGAUGUCACAGGCUCGUCAUGAACGUGUCAGACGGAAAUACCAUAUUUUGGUUGAAGGGGAUGGCAUUCCUCCACCCAUAAAGCGUUUCAAGGAGAUGAAGUUCCCAGCAGCUAUUCUACGUGGUCUGAAAAAGAAAGGAAUUCUGCAUCCUACUCCAAUCCAGAUUCAAGGCAUCCCGACAAUCCUGUCUGGACGGGAUAUGAUCGGCAUAGCUUUCACGGGCUCUGGAAAGACUUUGGUUUUUACACUACCUGUUAUCAUGUUUUGCUUGGAGCAAGAAAAAAGAUUACCUUUUACAAAGAGGGAAGGACCAUAUGGACUUAUUAUUUGCCCUUCAAGAGAAUUAGCCCGUCAGACACACAGCAUCAUAGAGUAUUACUGCCACUUGCUGCAAGAGGAUAACUCUCCAACCUUACGUACAGCACUGUGCAUUGGUGGUAUGUCUGUCAAAGAGCAAAUGGAAACUAUCAAACAGGGUGUGCACAUGAUGGUGGCAACCCCAGGGCGACUUAUGGACCUGCUUCAGAAAAAGAUGGUGAGUCUGGAUAUCUGUAGGUAUCUGGCCUUGGAUGAAGCUGAUCGUAUGAUUGACAUGGGCUUUGAGGAAGACAUUAGGACGAUAUUUUCCUACUUUAAGGGUCAACGACAAACACUACUUUUUAGUGCCACUAUGCCCAAGAAGAUCCAGAACUUUGCCAAAAGUGCUCUAGUGAAACCAAUAACUAUUAAUGUUGGGCGAGCAGGUGCAGCCAGUUUGGAUGUGAUACAGGAAGUAGAAUAUGUCAAGGAGGAGGCUAAGAUGGUUUAUUUACUGGAGUGUCUGAAGAAGACCCCACCUCCUGUGCUGAUCUUUGCAGAAAAGAAAGCUGAUGUAGAUGCCAUACAUGAGUAUCUUCUUCUAAAGGGAGUGGAGGCAGUAGCCAUACAUGGAGGAAAAGACCAGGAGGAGCGAACCAAAGCUAUUGAGGCUUUCAGGGAGGAAAAGAAAGAUGUCUUGGUUGCUACCGAUGUUGCUUCCAAAGGUUUGGACUUUCCCGCUAUCCAGCAUGUGAUAAACUAUGAUAUGCCUGAAGAGAUUGAGAACUAUGUUCACAGAAUAGGGCGUACAGGACGAUCCGGUAACACAGGAAUUGCCACCACUUUUAUUAACAAGGCAUGCGAUGAAUCUGUAUUGAUGGAUCUGAAAGCUCUUCUUAUGGAGGCCAAACAGCGAGUGCCUCCUGUCUUGCAGGUACUCAACAGCAGCGACGAGACCAUGCUGGACAUAGGAGGGGAACGGGGCUGUGCGUUUUGCGGAGGUCUGGGUCAUCGUAUUACAGACUGUCCCAAGUUGGAGGCUAUGCAGACCAAACAAGUCAGCACCAUUGGGAGGAAAGACUACCUGGCCACCAGUUCCAUGGACUUUUAAAGGAGGAACAUUACAGAUGGAUGUUAGAUGGAUUCUGUGCUUGGACUGUGGUGCUCCGGCUGCGGACAGAUUAGUGACUGGCAUGAAUCUGUGCUUAACCCUUGCCUCCACCACACAAGAGCAGAAUCUCUGGUUUCUGUGAAGUACUUCACCUGCCGAAAGAAAACGAAGAAACCUGUAUCUCCGCCCCCCCCCCCUGCCGUAUACCAUUAUACCAUGCUGAUCAGGAGGUAUUGGACAACUCACGUGUUUAUUUAUUUGCUAUCAUCUUCAUCCCGUUCUACUGUGUGUGGGGGAAUUAUUCUACUGAGGACAAGAUCAUAAAAUGUCUGCUACAGAUUUGAAGAAAUAUAUAGAAGUGAGAAGAAUUGUGUAUUCAAUUUAAGAUAAUGGUAUAGACCAGUGGUCCGCAGGUUGAAGACCACUGGUAUAGACAUGAAGUUGUACUUUAUAUGGGUUAUUAUAUUAAUAUCCUUGUGUACAUACAGCAGUGAAAGGCACCAUCCUCACAUUACUAGCAUUUAAAUAUAAUAUCAGUGGAAUGAUAUACUUGUUCAUACAGUUUCUGAAUAGUUUGAGAAUGGAGUCAUUACAGGAUUACAGUAGAACCCAAUCAUUUUGGCUCCUGUGAAUUACCUGAUGUGGAUAUUGUAAAGUCUGAGACACUUUCAUAAUCCUGCAUUAUAAUAAUUUAAUCCUCAGUUCUGCCUCCACUUCAGCUUGUCUGUAUUAUCUCAUUGUAUGGGACUUGUAUUCUGAAGUUUUUAUAUCGUGAAUUUAAACUUUUCAUAUUUCAAAGCUUUUUGUGCAUUGUUUCAACCACUCAACACUGUACACAGUUGCGAAGGAGUAGUAAAUAGAGGUGAGCGAACUUACAGUAAAUUCGAUUCGUCACGAACUUCUCGGCUCGGC